UACGUAGGUGGCAAGCGUUGUCCGAAUUUACUGGGCGUAAAGAGCGCGCAGGCGGCCAAGUCAGUCGAAUGUGAAAGCCCCCGGCUUAACUGGGGAGGGUCAUUCGAUACUGCUCGGCUCGAAGACAGGAGAGGGAAGUGGAAUUCCCGGCGUAGUGGUGAAUGACGUAGAUAUCGGGAGGAACACCAGUGGCGAAGGCGACUUUCUGGCCUGUUCUUGACGCUGAGGCGCGAAAGCUAGGGGAGCAAACGGGG
rnacentral:rRNA from 1 species